rnacentral:rRNA from 1 species
AAUGAACGUUGGCGGCGUGGAUUAGGCAUGCGAGUCGCGCGAGAACCGUAGCAAUACGGGGAAAGCGGCGAAAGGGAGAGGAAUACGCGGGUACCUACCCUCGGAUCUGGGAUAGCCACGGGAAACUGUGGGUAAUACCAGAUAAUGUCUCCGGACCAAAGGUGUGAUUCCGUCCGGGGAGGGGCCCACGUCCUAUUAGCUAGUUGGUGAGGUAACGGCUCACCAAGGCGAAGAUGGGUAUGGGAUGUGAGAGCAUGAUCCCACUCAUUGGGACUGAGACACUGCCCAGGCACCUACGGGUGGCUGCAGUCGAGAAUCUUCGGCAAUGGGGGAAACCCUGACCGAGCGACGCCGCGUGCGAGAUGAAGGCCUUCGGGUUGUAAAUCGCUGUCAGUGGGGAGGAAAUGUUGGUGGGUUCUCCCAUCAAUUUGACCUAUCCGCAGAGGAAGGACGGGCUAAGUUCGUGCCAGCAGCCGCGGUAAGAC